rnacentral:piRNA from 1 species
CAACCACCUCAACCAACAACCACAUCACAC